AUUGAACGCUGGCGGCAUGCUUUACACAUGCAAGUCGAACGGCAGCGCGGGCUUCGGCCUGGCGGCGAGUGGCGAACGGGUGAGUAAUACAUCGGAACGUGCCCAGUAGUGGGGGAUAGCUCGGCGAAAGCCGGAUUAAUACCGCAUACGACCUGAGGGUGAAAGCGGGGGAUCUUCGGACCUCGCGCUAUUUGAGCGGCCGAUGGCAGAUUAGCUAGUUGGUGGGGUAAAGGCCUACCAAGGCGCCGAACUGUAGCUGGUCUGAGAGGACGGCCAGCCACACUGGGACUGAGACACGGCCCAGACUCCUACGGGAGGCAGCAGUGGGGAAUUUUGGACAAUGGGCGAAAGCCUGAUCCAGCAAUGCCGCGUGUGUGAUGAAGGCCUUCGGGUUGUAAAGCACUUUUGGCGGGAACGAAAAGGACUGUGCCAAUACCACGGUUCGAUGACGGUACCCGCAGAAUAAGCACCGGCUAACUACGUG
rnacentral:rRNA from 1 species